GACUCGCUUCUUCAGUGCCUUGCUGCUCC
rnacentral:piRNA from 1 species